AACCCAAAACCAAACCCUAGAAUGAACUUCCUCAUGCAAUUUUAUGUUUAGUUGAUUAACAGUCUCUCAUGUUUAGAAUCUCACAAUCACAAAUUCAACAUUGAGUCUUAUAUCGUCCUUCCCGGCCAUAUGGAGCAAGAAAUUGACAAUUUGAUAUUCAACAUGGGUUCACUCGGAACCAGCUUUCCACAAAAGAGAGGAUUGUCAAGGUAUUACUCGGGUAAAUCAAGAUCAUUUGCUUGCAUGGAAGAUGUACAUUCCUUGGAAGAUUUGAAGAAACCAGAACAUCCUGAUGCAAAGAAAAGGAAGAAACAUUUGCACAUGAAGGAAUUGCGCAACCUUCCUCCCUAUCCCUGCCGAAGGGUUAGUUGCACUCAAUUAACUACCCCAUAUGUCAACGUGUAGGAUUUUAUUUCCCUAGUUCAACGCGUCCUUGCUCACACUAUUGGUAUGUCAUUAAUGAGAAAUUAUUAAUUUUUGAAAAUUACUAAGUGCUCUUAGAGUAUUGGUUAAAAAAUCAAAACUAGAAAAUUUUUAUUGAAAAAUAUAUUUAUACAGUCUCUUGCAUAACUUUAUUUUAGUUAAAUAAAAAAUUUCUAUAUAUUAAUUUCUUAACCAAUAUUCUUAGGACACUAAUUAGUAAGUCUCUUAAUUUUUUUAUAUAUUAAAAAUUUUAAAUAUAUGUCAUGUAAUAAUUAAUUAAAAUUAUAGACAUUUGAUAUAUAGUCUUAGACUAUCUAAUAAUUUUUCGUCAUUAACACCCUAUUGGCUAGUAACUAGUAUUGGGAUAUCUCUCCACCCUACCACUCCACAGAAAAAUCUCCAUGUGAUCAUUCUACUUUCUCCCACAUUCCAUCUUCUUGUUCAUGUGUAUAUAUUUAAGCAAAUUCUAUUAUUAAAGGAAAAAGUAUUAAUUACGCUUAUAUGCGAUUUGUAAUUUGUAUCAGUGUAGAAAGUUGAAAUCAAAACAUAUGAUUGAGUCUAA